rnacentral:rRNA from 1 species
ACCCCCAAGGGUACCACAGCAGUGAUAAAAAUUAAACAAAUAAGCGCAAGCUUGACUUAGUUAUAGUAAAUAGGGUUGGUCAAUCUUGUGCCAGCCACCGCGGUUAUACAAGAAACCCAAAUCAACAGAAAACCGGCGUAAAGUGUGACUAAAACAGCUAUCUAAAAAUUAAGGAGAACCAUGUACUCAGCUGUUAUACGCAAAAGUACACAAUUACCCCAAUAUGAAAAUAACCUCAAUACAACAGAACUAUCUGAACUCACGAUCGCUAAGACACAAACUGGGAUUAGAUACCCCACUAUGCUCAGCCGUAAACUUAGACAUUUAUUACACAAAAAUAUCCGCCAGAGAACUACGAGCAAAAUGCUUAAAACUCUAAAGACUUGGCGGUGCCUCAAACCCCCCUAGAGGAGCCUGUUCUAUAACCGAUAAUCCACGAUCCACCUCACCAUCUCUUGCCAAUACCGCCUAUAUACCGCCGUCACCAGCCUACCCUGUGAAGGACAUAAAAGUAAGCAAAAUAGCUAACAACAGCUAAUAAGUCAGGUCAAGGUGUAGCUAACUGAGAUGGGAGAAACGGGCUACAUUUUCUAAACUAGAAAUUAUCUCACGGAAAGGGCCAUGAAACAAGUCCCACAAGCAGGAUUUAGCAGUAAACAGGGAUCAGAACGCCCAACUUAAGCCGGUCCUAAGGCACGCACACA